GAAGGUGAGACCCAGAGAGGUUAAGUAACUCUCCUGACGCCGACAGCUGUUUUAAAUCCAGGCUCUCUGACACCAGGACAAACACCAUCUGAGCCGUGCUGUGGGCAGGAAGUAUGAGCCAGUCUGGGGAAGAGGAACCCUCUACAUCCAUGUCCACUUUGGUGCUUUGAGGAAGCAGGUCAGCCUUGGCCCAGCCCUGGAAUGAGGAUGGCUUGUCCCUGGUGUUCAGACCCCAUCUCCCUGCAUGCCAGCAUGUCAGCCUUGCAGCAGAAGCAUUAGGAGGAGAAACAGAGACCUGCUAAUAGUGGAUGGGACAGGCACCAGCGCAAGCUGGGUGUGAGCCUGACCACUGGCUACUGCUCUGCUCUCCCCUGCUGAUGCACACUGCCAAAACCGUCCACAGCUGAGGCGCCAGCCAGCCCCAAGACUGACUUGGGGAGCAAGGUCUGGGCUGAGACCAGAAACGCAUCUGGGAACCUAGGCACCCAAACCUCUGCAUCCCCCUUCUGCUGUCCUCUUUGUACACCUGCUUUUGGACAUCUGCACAGCUGGGAUUUCAGGGGCCAGGUGUGAGUGUGGGUGUGAAGGUGAGUGAUCCUGUUUAGUUUGCCACCCUCAGCCCAAUCGCCCUAUGUGCGAACUGGACAGCUGCACAUGCCUGACCCUAGGUGCACACUCACCAUCGGUGGCUCGUGUCUUGCUCUCAGGUGUGCUGCCCCCGUGUCUAAUGGAUGCAGGAGGCUGUUCCUGCCCAAGAGCCAAGGCCCGCGGAGGAGCCAUCAUGCUAAUCUGUGGUCGUGGCACAGUGUGGAAGGUUAUCAGGGCUCAGCGGGAGGCCAACUCUCUGGCAACAGCCCUGACACUGCUUUCAAAAGACGGUCCCCUCCACUCAGUUCUUCCCAUGUUUGCCUGCACCUGUUCACCGACCCUUAGGCCUCCUCACCCCUGACCUUUAAACUGAGGUUCGGGGAGGAAAGGCUAGUGAAGCUCAUCUCUAGAUCUGAGAAGGUACCAUGUAGCCUGUGGAGGGGGCCUCCCUUCCCUUCUGCAGGACCACCCCGACGCACCCCUGGCCUCUUUCAUCCUGAAUAGGCCGACAGUGGUGAAGGAGGGGCAAGAGGGCCACAACUCUGGCCUUCGGAAGUUGGGUCCAGCUGGCAAGGUACAGGCGCUAAACUAACCUAGGUCACCCAGCCUAACCUCCAUAUUGCUAUCUAGCUCCACCUCUCUCUGGAGGACCAAGGCGGCUUCCUGAAAAGACCAGGACUGGGUUCAAAGCUCCCUGCAGGACCCCUUCUCCUCCAAGGGCUACGCCCUGACUCUCAGGAGACCCCCUUCCAGGGCUUAGGCUAAUCAGUUCACCCUACCCCCACCCCUACCUGCUUCUCCCUCUUCAUGGGAAAUAGGCCUCUCUGUCCAUGGGAUCAGAGCCACUUUCCCACAGGGAUCAGUCAU